rnacentral:rRNA from 1 species
UGGGUUAGUGGCGGACGGGUGAGUAACGCGUGGGUAACCUGCCUUACACAGGGGGAUAACACUUAGAAAUAGGUGCUAAAACCGCAUAAGCGCACAGCUUCGCAUGAAGCGGUGUGAAAAACUCCGGUGGUGUAAGAUGGACCCGCGUCUGAUUAGCUUGUUGGCGGGGUAACGGCCCACCAAGGCGACGAUCAGUAGCCGGCCUGAGAGGGCGGACGGCCACAUUGGGACUGAGACACGGUCCAAACUCCUACGGGAGGCAGCAG